rnacentral:rRNA from 1 species
CAGUAGCCGCGGGAAUACGUAGGGUGCGAGCGUUAAUCGGAAUUACUGGGCGUAAAGCGAGCGCAGACGGUUAUUUAAGCAGGAUGUGAAAUCCCCGGGCUUAACCUGGGAACUGCGUUCUGAACUGGAUAGCUAGAGUGUGUCAGAGGGGGGUAGAAUUCCACGUGAAGCAGUGAAAUGCGUAGAGACGUGGAGGAAUACCGAUGGCGAAGGCAGCCCCCUGGGAUAACACUGACGUUCAUGCUCGAAAGCGUGGGUAGCAAACAGGAUUAGAUACCCCGGUAGUCCCUGUCUCUUAUAC